AUUGAACGCUGGCGGCAGGCCUAACACAUGCAAGUCGAGCGGUUGACGGGAGCUUGCUCCCUGAUUCAGCGGCGGACGGGUGAGUAAUGCCUAGGAAUCUGCCUAUUAGUGGGGGACAACGUUUCGAAAGGAACGCUAAUACCGCAUACGUCCUACAGGAGAAAGCAGGGGACCUUCGGGCCUUGCGCUAAUAGAUGAGCCUAGGUCGGAUUAGCUUGUUGGUGAGGUAAUGGCUCACCAAGGCGACGAUCCGUAACUGGUCUGAGAGGAUGAUCAGUCACACUGGAACUGAGACACGGUCCAGACUCCUACGGGAGGCAGCAGUGGGGAAUAUUGGACUAUGGGCGAAAGCCUGAUCCAGCCAUGCCGCGUGUGUGAAGAAGGUCUUCGGAUUGUAAAGCACUUUAAGUUGGGAGGAAGGGCAGUAAGUUAAUACCUUGCUGUUUUGACGUUACCGACAGAAUAAGCACCGGCUAACUCUGUGCCAGCCGCCGCCGUAAAAC
rnacentral:rRNA from 1 species